rnacentral:rRNA from 1 species
UACGUAGGGUGCGAGCGUUAAUCGGAAUUACUGGGCGUAAAGCGUGCGCAGGCGGUUUUGUAAGCCAGAUGUGAAAUCCCCGGGCUCAACCUGGGAAUGGCAUUUGGGACUGCAAGGCUGGAGUACGGCAGAGGAGACUGGAAUUCCUGGUGUAGCAGUGAUAUGCGUAGAGAUCAGGAGGAAUACCGAUGGCGAAGGCAGGUCUCUGGGCUGAUACUGACGCUCAUGCACGAAAGCGUGGGGAGCAAACAGG